GACAGAGGGUGCAAACGUUGUUCGGAAUUACUGGGCAUAAAGCGCACGUAGGUGGUCCGCUAAGUCGCGUGUGAAAUCCCCCGGCUCAACCGGGGAAAUGCGCGUGAUACUGGCGGGCUUGAGAUCGGGAGGGGUGAAUGGAACUCCAGGUGGAGCGGUGAAAUGCGUAGAUAUCUGGAGGAACACCGGUGGCGAAAGCGGUUCACUGGCCCGACACUGACACUGAGGUGCGAGAGCUAGGGUAGCAAACGGG
rnacentral:rRNA from 1 species